rnacentral:rRNA from 1 species
CAGUCGCCGCGGGAAUACGAUGGGUGCAAGCGUUAAUCGGAAUUACUGGGCAUAAAGCGUGCGUAGGCGGUGAGUUAAGUCUGCUGUGAAAUCCCCGGGCUCAACCUGGGAAUGGCAGUGGAUACUGGCUCGCUAGAGUGUGUCAGAGGAUGGUGGAAUUCCCGGUGUAGCGGUGAAAUGCGUAGAGAUCGGGAGGAACAUCAGUGGCGAAGGCGGCCAUCUGGGACAACACUGACGCUGAGGCACGAAAGCGUGGGGAGCAAACAGGAUUAGAUACCCCAGUAGUCCCUGUCUCUUAUAC